rnacentral:rRNA from 1 species
CUACGGAGGGUGCAAGCGUUAUUCGGAAUCACUGGGCGUAAAGGACACGUAGGCGGGAAGCCAAGUCUGAUGUGAAAUCCUACAGCUUAACUGUAGAACUGCAUUGGAAACUGGUUACCUAGAGUAUGGGAGGGGGAGAUGGAAUUAGUGGUGUAGGGGUAAAAUCCGUAGAUAUCACUAGGAAUACCUAAAGCGAAGGCGAUCUCCUGGAACAUUACUGACGCUAAGGUGUGAAAGCGUGGGGAGCAAACGGGAUUAGAAACCCUAGUAGUCC